UAGGGAAUCUUCGGCAAUGGGGGCAACCCUGACCGAGCAACGCCGCGUGAGUGAAGAAGGUUUUCGGAUCGUAAAGCUCUGUUGUAAGAGAAGAACGUGUGUGAGAGUGGAAAGUUCACACAGUGACGGUAACUUACCAGAAAGGGACGGCUAACUACGUGCCAGCAGCCGCGGUAAUACGUAGGUCCCGAGCGUUGUCCGGAUUUAUUGGGCGUAAAGCGAGCGCAGGCGGUUUAAUAAGUCUGAAGUUAAAGGCAGUGGCUUAACCAUUGUUCGCUUUGGAAACUGUUAAACUUGAGUGCAGAAGGGGAGAGUGUAAUUCCAUGUGUAGCGGUGAAAUGCGUAGAUAUAUGGAGGAACACCGGUGGCGAAAGCGGCUCUCUGGUCUGUAACUGACGCUGAGGCUCGAAAGCGUGGGGAGCAAACAGG
rnacentral:rRNA from 1 species